rnacentral:rRNA from 1 species
GAUGAACGCUGGCGGCGUGCCUAAUACAUGCAAGUCGAGCGAACAGACGAGGAGCUUGCUCCUCUGACGUUAGCGGCGGACGGGUGAGUAACACGUGGAUAACCUACCUAUAAGACUGGGAUAACUUCGGGAAACCGGAGCUAAUACCGGAUAAUAUAUUGAACCGCAUGGUUCAAUAGUGAAAGACGGUUUUGCUGUCACUUAUAGAUGGAUCCGCGCCGCAUUAGCUAGUUGGUAAGGUAACGGCUUACCAAGGCAACGAUGCGUAGCCGACCUGAGAGGGUGUAGGCCCACACGGGAAGAGAGACACGGCCCAGACCCCUACGGGGGGCGCAGGAGGGGAUUCUCCCGAAAGGGGCGAAGGCCGAACGGGGCACCACCGGGGGAUGAAUGAAGUUUUUCGAAUCGAAAAACUCUGUUAUUGGGAAAAACCAAAUUUUAAAGUAACAAGGCACGUCUGGACGGUACCUAAUCAAAAAGCCACGGCUAACUCGGUG